ACUCUUCACAGACAGCGUCAAAGCUAGACUGGAGGAUCCAAGAGACAAAUGCGCUGGAAAAGUGUCACUGUUUUACGCUGGGAAUUGGACACCCAUCUGCCAAGACAGUCUUGAUACAAACCUUAAAAAUGCAAUCUGCAAGGAACUAUUUUGUGGGACGAGCAUAAAGGACACAUAUGAUUUGAUUUCGCUUGAAGAGUCUAAAUCCAGAGGACUAUCAAGAAUUACAUGUCUGGAUAGUGCCAACUCUGUUUCCAAAUGUGACCUCAAAGGGAUUUCAGAGAAAGAAUGUAUUGUUGGCUAUCUGAAAUGCACAGAUUGGGAACGAUUGCUCCUCUAUAAUAAGGAAGGUGAAUGCAGUGGUCCAGUAUAUGGUCUGCGAGAUGGGAACACACAGCAAGUCAGCGGGCUUGGAUGGGGCAGAGAGGAAGGACAAAAGCUGUGCGAGUAUCUACAGUGUGGAAAUUACAUAUCACACUCCACUAUAAUCAAAAACACGAAAGACUGGUGGAAGAAGACCUAUAAUUGCUCAGGGAAGAAUAAUAUUUGGGAAUGCGAGAGCAAUGAUCAGCCCAUCCAGAAUCAGCAGCAGUUAAACAUCCAGUGUGACCGUAAAUCUCCGAACAUUAUGCUCUCAAACAACUGCACAGGCGAGGUGCUCAUAGAUAAAGAGCAUGUUUGUGCAUCCCAGUGGGAUGAUGGGAUGUCCAACAAGUUAUGUGACAGCCUCAAUUGUGGUAAGGCCAUCUACAGCUGGCCCACAGUCUCUGCUAAAAAAAAUCG
rnacentral:lncRNA from 1 species